UGGGGAAUCUUGGACAAUGGGCGAAAGCCUGAUCCAGCCAUGCCGCGUGGAUGAUGAAGGCCCUAGGGUUGUAAAAUCCUUUCGCUGGGGACGAUAAUGACGGUACCCAAAGAAGAAGCUCCGGCUAACUUCGUGCCAGCAGCCGCGGUAAUACGAAGGGGGCUAGCGUUGUUCGGAUUUACUGGGCGUAAAGCGCGUGUAGGCGGGCUGAUAAGUUGGGGGUGAAAUCCCGAGGCUCAACCUCGGAACUGCCUCCAAAACUGUCAGCCUGGAGCAAAGAAGAGGCGAGUGGAAUUGCGAGUGUAGAGGUGAAAUUCGUAGAUAUUCGCAGGAACACCAGUGGCGAAGGCGACUCGCUGGUCUUUUGCUGACGCUGAGACGCGAAAGCGUGGGGAGCAAACAGGAUUAGAUACCCUGGUAGUCCACGCUGUAAACGAUGAGAGCUAGUUGUCGGCACGCAUGCGUGUCGGUGACGCAGCUAACG
rnacentral:rRNA from 1 species